AAAUAAUCUAAAAACGCUUGCAGGAUGGUGUGGAUUUGUGGGUUAAUUCAUCCAGUGCCAUCCUGCAAACAAGCUGAAUCCGGGUAAAGUCGAGCGAGCGUGUACAUUUUUAGUACUUUGUCCAUCCUGCAUGACAGCUACGCCAUUAUUGUUUGUCUCGUGUAUCAAAAUUACAAUUUUAAUUUUUAUGUUUGAAAACUUAAUCCUUAUGUUCUGUGAGCGAAUAUAUUAAAAAUACGGCAUUUGAAAGUUCGUCGCGUUUUCGUCGUCACCAGUGUCAGUUCAAUAGUUCAGGUUUGAGUGCAAUAAGCUGAAUGAAAAUCCGUUAUUUUAAGGCGUCGGCUGCGAAACAGUUCGACAGUGGCCGAAGAAGAAAACAAGAACCAGCAAAUCUACGGCGUUUGGGCUGACGAGAGGCGGGUUCUUCCCGAAGAAGCUGGAGCCAGCUAAUAGGAACCGGCGAAAAUGCCCCAAACGGUUUUAGUGGCCCGAUCGAUUUCGCUUCCGGUAAGAUCCUACAAGCGGGGUAGAAACAAAAGGUUGAGGAAGAGGACGAAGAUGAUGGAGAGUUGCAAAUGCGCCACAGGUUCGAAACUACCAAGAAUGCGCUGUCCGGGACCAGUUCCGAGUCGGAAUCGGAUUCGGUUCCAAAACCGGAUGACUUUUCUUCGAUGACAGUGAUCCGGGAGUUCAAACAAGCCAAAGUUCUCCGCUCGGCAAAAGUGUCGGGAAUUGAAAACAGCACACAAAACAAAUCAGCGCCAAGCAAAGAUUUGCAGUGUAUCGCAGCUCCGAUUUAUGCUCACCUGAGCUGGUCAACUGAAACAGUGGCAAAUGUCUGAAAUCCUAAAUCUGAAAUUUUAGUGAGGUACAACUACCCGGAAAACGGCCCGUGAAUAAGGUUGAAAAGAUCAUUUUUCCAAUUCCAGCCGUAGUUAGCGGGAAGAAGCGCAACGCCAAGAGCCACGGCACGGUAAUGAAAGUUCGGUCAAUUACUCAUCAUAGUUACUGUGAAAGACCCUGAAGCUGGAUUGAUUAGGAAGACUUCCAUCUGCUGAUGGCAGAGAAGUUCAUCUAAAACGAAAAUAUCCAAUCCGGGAAACGAAAAAAAGCCCCCAGUCUGAGGUCCUGUGAAAUAUGCCAAUGUAUGCAUGUUUAUCUAGAAGUCGUUCAACCAAAACAUGCCAACAUUUCAGGAUAGCAAUUUGUUGGUGGGUAUGGCUCCCCAGAUAGAAACCUAUAUCAACACUAGUCUUCUAAGAUCGAAAAUGUUUUGGCAUCUGUAAAGAUAGUCAAAUCCAGUCGGAUUAUUUGUAAGAAUCGUGGAAAACGAAAUACUAGUGGACUCGUUUCGUUUUGGUGAAAUAAAACAGAUAAAAAACGGAUCGAUAUAUUCACGGUACUGUUCCGUGGAGCAGAAAACUCUACGACAAGCUGUAAAAUAGAUAUCUAGAGAACCAUGCCCUAUCUGUGAGCGUUCACUUUCUCUGUUAUCCGAGGUUGACCUAUGUAGCAGCAAUGAUAGUAACAAUUAUAGACAAUCUUCCGACCAGUUGCCUUAAAACUUCAGUGGCUAAAAUGAUCUUAUAUCACGAGUUGUUUCGAGAGUCCGCUGUCAGAGGUGCUGAUAUAGUCCAAUUUUUCUACCACUCCAAAAAAGCUAGCGACUCUUUCCACUUGCAAUCAUUUCUACAUUUUUUCGGUGGUAAAAUAGUCAUCAACUUCGACAACCAGGAAGCGGUGUUGCUGGGAAAUUGUUUGAUGCAAAGCUGAAUUAGGAACUGGAUAACGACGAAGGAAAGUCCCGUGCAAUGCCUCCACAAUUUUGGAACGGUUUCGGCUAUGAAGUUGUAAAAAUAUUAUCAACAUUAUGAAUCUGGAUAUGAAUACAAAAAUUCUUCCAGAUAGUUAUGCCACGGGCGUUGUAAAAAUAGCACUAAAUCAAGAAAAAUUAUAAUGAAUAUCUGGAAAGGGCACCCACCUGAGUUCUGUCUAAUGAAGUUACUAUCACAACUGUGACUAUAAAAUUCGAAUAAAAAAAACAAUAAAACUU